AGCCGCCCGCCGGGCCGCGGGGCGCAGGGCUGAGAGUGCGCGGGGGGCCCGGCCGCGUGCGGGACACAAAGCGAAUGGACGCGCGGGGGUGGCGGGCGGGGAGCCGCGGCCCCACCGAAGGGACCCCCGGCCGCCGAGCGGCCGCUACGUCAGCGCCCCGGGUGGCGCCGCCUCCGCCCGCCGGCCUGGGCCCCGCUCCCGCCGCCGGGAAGGCGGGCCGCGGUAGAAGCCUUAGAUGUUUAUUGAGCACCUACUGUAUGCUGACAGCUGUACAUCAGCACUCAGAAGUCUUGGCUUUCCUGCUCAUCCUGGAGUAGAAAGAACCAGGGAUGGACUUAGAUCUGAGUGGACGGUGGGAGAAAGAAUGGGAACACUCAACAGGGUUUGUGGUCCUGCUCUCUUCACUCAGGUGAUGUUUCCACAGCCACAGAGAAAGAGCCUUCUGCAGCAGGCUCAGCGCCAGCCCCUGGAGUGAUCAGUCAGGGCAUCAAAGAUUGGAUGAACAUCCCUCUUACCCAGGGAAAAUCAUAUCUGUUGGAGUACUUGUGCCAGGCUCACGGUGGUAUUUGGUUCAGACCCUCAGUCUGAAAUUCCAUCUUCCCUUGUACAAAAGUGGCAAGAACCACUGUAGUUCUGGCUCCUUAGAAGUGUUCAUUCUCUAUAGAACCACAAUUGUUCACAUUCUAUCCUAGGGCACUUCCAAUUCCAGAAGCUAGGAAAAAAAGUAAAUAGCCCUGCUGGGAACAAAGAGGAAGGUGGCCCUGCUGUGGGCUCAGAAGCUUCCAUUUACCAGGCAAUUGAAAAUCCAGAGACCGGGAGCCCCGGAUAACAGGCAUUUACCAUUUCUGAUUCUGGAAGCCAAAAGAUGAAGGGUCUGCAGGACUGUAGUCCUUCAGAGGUACCAGAGAAGGAUCUGUGUCUGGUCUCUGUCCACCUUCUCAGAGCUUCCUGGGCUAGGACAGUGUCCCUCCAGACUUGCCAUGGCCUUGGCUCUGUGCUUCUGUGUCCAAGUUCCCUUUUUAUAAGAACACUACUUGUACUGGGUAAGUUCCUACUCUGACAUGACCUGUCCCAACACCUUAGCUAACUGCAUCUGCAGAGACCUUAUUUCCAAGUAAGGUCACAUUCUAAGAUCCUAGGAGUUAUGUCCUGGCCCAGUGAGUUAGAGAAGAGAGGAGCUUGGUUCAGACCUUCCAGGUUACUUCAGCCUGAAAGAGCUCACAGGGUGAUGACAGGGAGCCUGGACACCCUAAUGUGGUUCUUUGGGAAAUGCUUGAGCAGUACCUAGCCACACAGCAAACCAUGUACAGAGGACACAGGUAGGGUUAGCAGACCCACUAGCACCCAACCCCUGGCAAAGACCCUUUCUUUCCCUGUCUACUAUAUGAAGUGCAGAGCAAACAGCAGAAAGCUUGUUUCCGAGGGAUCCUGGAAAGAGAUACAACAAUAAAUUAGCAUUCUCAGCUGGUCACUGGUGUUUGUCCUGCAGGAAGAAGGGCUGGCAUAGACUGACUGCAUCCCUUUUGUCCGUGUAAGUGAUGUAUGGAUGAAGGCAUAGGAAUUACCCAACAUUCUCUGUCAGAUGGAAAAUGAAGAAAGGAGCUACAUCAACCAUAUGAUGCUUAUAUAAUUCUCAGAUCCUCUCUGAAAAUUAAGGCCGUAUAAAUGAAAGCCUAUUUUUGCCUGUCAAAAGGCCAGUGCACUGGCCUUGCUGGGCAACUGGGCCUAUUCAUGCACAUGGCUCCUGUGCUCUAAGGGCCAGCAACACCAGGACUAAGAAGCAAUCACAGGACUCACUUAUGGAGUGGCAUGUACACCUCUCUAUCUCCUGUCCUUAUAUUUUGCUUCUUAAAUGUGAACAUGUGUAUAGCUCCCUCAUUUUAGUGGAAAUGCUUCAAAGUGCAGGCUUUGUGCCUUGUCCCUUGGAGGAAGGGCAAGGCCUGGUAAAAGUGCUACACAAGAACCUUAAAAAGUAAGCAGAAUGUCCCCUUUGUGCUGAGGAGAAAAUGAAAAUACAUA